AAUAUAGGUCAUCUUAUAUUAAAAUAGUUUUGACAUCCAGAUUAUAAAGAACUGUGUGACUUCAAAUAGUUUGGAUUUCAUUUAGAACCCUAUAUAAAUGAUAGCCAUUUAUCUGGAAUACAAAGAGUAACGUGUGAACUUUAAGAUUAAAAUUUCCAUUGCUCUAUGUAGCAGAAUGACUGUGUCAACGGACUGAUAUGUCCACAAACAUAUAGAUAAAUAUAGCUGAAAGAGAAAGUCCGAGAAUUGUUUGUCCUAUAAUAUCACUAUUGGCAAAUAUAAACAUAAUCUGGCAACGAAGAAUUAAAUAGGAACGAAUUUGCUGUAUCCAGCGAUUAUAACCCUUGGCAUGUUUGAUUUAACUGGUGUAUCAUUGACUUUUGAAAU
rnacentral:lncRNA from 1 species